rnacentral:rRNA from 1 species
CCCUUGGAUGUUCUGGGCCGCACGCGCGCUACACUGACGAAUGCAACGAGCUUAUAACCUUGGCCGAAAGGUCUGGGUAAUCUCCAAAUUUCGUCGUGAUGGGGAUAGAUUAUUGCAAUUAUUAAUCUUCAACGAGGAAUGCCUAGUAAGCGCAAGUCAUCAGCUUGCGUUGAUUACGUCCCUGCCCUUUGUACACACCGCCCGUCGCUCCUACCGAUUGAAUGGUCCGGUGAAGCGUUCGGACCGUGGCCUUUGGACGGUUCGCCGUCUGUUGGCUGCGGGAAGUUCGUUAAACCUUAUCAUUUAGAGGAAGGAGAAGUCGUANCA